UGGAGCACGCCGCGUGUGUGAUGAAGGCUUUCGGGUCGUAAAGCACUGUUGUAUGGGAAGAACAGCUAGAAUAGGGAAUGAUUUUAGUUUGACGGUACCAUACCAGAAAGGGACGGCUAAAUACGUGCCAGCAGCCGCGGUAAUACGUAUGUCCCGAGCGUUAUCCGGAUUUAUUGGGCGUAAAGCGAGCGCAGACGGUUGAUUAAGUCUGAUGUGAAAGCCCGGAGCUCAACUCCGGAAUGGCAUUGGAAACUGGCUAACUUGAGUGCAGUAGAGGUAAGUGGAACUCCAUGUGUAGCGGUGGAAUGCGUAGAUAUAUGGAAGAACACCAGUGGCGAAGGCGGCUUACUGGACUGUAACUGACGUUGAGGCUCGAAAGUGUGGGUAGCAAACAGGAUUAGAUACCCUGGUAGUCCACACCGUAAACGAUGAACACUAGGUGUUAGGAGGUUUCCGCCUCUUAGUGCCGAAGCUAACGCAUUAAGUGUUCCGCCUGGGGAGUACGACCGCAAGGUUGAAACUCAAAGGAAUUGACGGGGACCCGCACAAGCGGUGGAGCAUGUGGUUUAAUUCGAAGCAACGCGAAGAACCUUACCAGGUCUUGACAUCCUUUGAAGCUUUUAGAGAUAGAAGUGUUCUCUUCGGAGACAAAGUGACAGGUGGUGCAUGGUCGUCGUCAGCUCGUGUCGUGAGAUGUUGGGUUAAGUCCCGCAACGAGCGCAACCCUUAUUGUUAGUUGCCAGCAUUCAGAUGGGCACUCUAGCGAGACUGCCGGUGACAAACCGGAGGAAGGCGGGGACGACGUCAGAUCAUCAUGCCCCUUAUGACCUGGGCUACACACGUGCUACAAUGGCGUAUACAACGAGUUGCCAACCCGCGAGGGUGAGCUAAUCUCUUAAGUACGUCUCAGUUCGGA
rnacentral:rRNA from 1 species